GUCAGAGCAAGUUCGAAGUUUGAAGCAGUAGCGCUGAGAUUUGUAAUUUUUCACUGGCCGUAUUCUCAACACUGCACGUACUCGCAACGAAGAAAGACUACACGAUGGUUAUAUUUUUUAUCAUGUUAGUCAUUGCAGGAUGGGCAGGUAAAUGGAAAUUCAGUUAUACUACUGUCUACUUUUAAUCAUACACUGGCACAGCAUUGCAUGCAUGUACUCUGUAAAUUGAUAAAGUUAGCAGGUUUAUAUAUAUUAGACAGCUAGCGCUCAUCUAAACUAAAUUUAGUAUGCUUAGUUCUCAUCGCCUACGUUGUGAAAAGAGAGAAAAGUAGACUUUUUGGCAAAAUACAGAAAAGCGGAAGGAUAGAGAAUAACGAGCUUGACGCAAGCGACGUUUAAAUCAGGGGCGUAAAUGUGGGGUGUGGGGGUGUGGGGGUGUGGGGGUGUGGGGGGUGGUUCACCCCCCAGAGAAAUGAUCCAGUCGGUCUCAAACUACGUGCAGUCGGUCGAGCAGUCGGUCUCAAAAUUAUACGUUUGUUUACAUGCAGUGCUUUGCGA